rnacentral:rRNA from 1 species
AUUGAACGCUGGCGGCAGGCCUAACACAUGCAAGUCGAACGGUAACAGGAAGCAGCUUGCUGCUUUGCUGACGAGUGGCGGACGGGUGAGUAAUGUCUGGGAAACUGCCUGAUGGAGGGGGAUAACUACUGGAAACGGUAGCUAAUACCCCAUAACGUCGCAAGACCAAAGAGGGGGCCCUUCGGGCCCCUUGCAAUCGGAUUGGCCCAGAUGGGAUUAGCUAGUAGGUGGGGUAACGGCUCACCUAGGCGACGAUCCCUAGCUGGUCUGAGAGGAUGACCAGCCACACUGGAACUGAGACACGGUCCAGACUCCUACGGGAGGCAGCAGUGGGGAAUAUUGCACAAUGGGCGCAAGCCUGAUGCAGCCAUGCCGCGUGUAUGAAGAAGGCCUUCGGGUUGUAAAGUACUUUCAGCGGGGAGGAAGGGAGUAAAGUUAAUACCUUUGCUCAUUGACGUUACCCGCAGAAGAAGCACCGGCUAACUCCGUG